rnacentral:rRNA from 1 species
GAUGAACGCUAGCGGCAGGCUUAAUACAUGCAAGUCGAGGGGCAGCACGGUUAGCAAUAACUGGUGGCGACCGGCGCACGGGUGCGUAACACGUAUACAAUCUACCUUAAACAGGGGGAUAGCCCUUUCGAAAGAGAGAUUAAUACCCCGUAAUAAAUUGAACGGCAUCGUUUGAUUUUGAAAGCUCCGGCGGUUUGAGAUGAGUAUGCGUCUGAUUAGCUAGUUGGUGAGGUAACGGCUCACCAAGGCGACGAUCAGUAGGGGAUCUGAGAGGACUAACCCCCACACUGGUACUGAGACAUGGACCAGACUCCUACGGGAGGGCAGCAGUU